CUUUGUCCUUUUUUGGUCCAUAGCUUAAUUUUUUUCUGGGAUUGCCACUGUGUCUUUGGAGUUAUUAGUUUCCUUUUUUAAAAAAAUUCUCAAAUGGCAAGCCAUUCUAUUUAUAUCUUUACAGAUAUCUGAUAAAAGCAAAUUUCAACAUUUUUGGUAGGCUAAAUAUUGUUGUUUUAAUUCUGCAUGCCACAGCUCAGAGUCACAUUGUCAAAGUAUAAUAUUCAUUUUCAAAAAACUUUAGCAUUAAGUACCUCAGACUAAAGAUAUUUAUAUCCAGUGAAAAAUGUUCAAACUGUUAAGCUAAGAGCAUACAGUUAAGCAUUCAUACAGACUUAUAUGAACAUAGACAUGAAAGGAAUCUAUAUUAAACAGUACAAGAGGAAUAUAGCAGCUUAGAAUCAAAAUAUGCCUCUGUUGCCUUUAUGUGUUUAAAAUUAACAUUUUUUAGUAGCUGAAAUUGUAGAGAAAAUGUUGCCCAGAAGUACCCAUUGAUUUGAGGGCAUUUCACUCAUUGUUACAAGGAUGUGAAGAUUGAAUCUCCUUGGCAAUGAUAUCAUUUUGGAGGGAGAAUAGGGAAAAUAGGUUACAAAACAGUGCAUAGAGAAUGGUUCCAUUUCAGUAAGGAUCAUCUUCUAUGCUUCAUCAUAAUUCUCAAUCUCCCAAGAGUUCUGCAACCUGAAAUGAGUACAAGUAGUCCCCUCUUGUCCAUGGGGUAUACUUUCUGAGACCCCCCUCUUAUCCAUGGGGGAUACUUUCUGAGAACCCCCCUCCCCUUAUCCAUGGGGGAUACUUUCUGAGAUUCCCAACCCCCCCACCAGUGGAUGCCUGAAACUGCGAUAGUACCAAACUCUGUAUAUUCUAUGUUUUUCACUAUACAUACAUAUCUAUGAUAAAGUUUAAUUUAUAAACUAGGCACAGUAAUAGAGUAACACAAUAAUAAAAGAGAACAAUUAUAACAAUACGCCAGCGUCUCUUCUCUUCUGCUUUGGGGCCAUUAUUCAUUAAAGUAAGGGUGACUUGAACCCAAGCACCGUAAUACCACUGCAGUCGAGCUGGUAACCAAGACAAAGUGACUAACGGGCAGGCAGUGUGGAUGAUUCACAUCCCAGGUAAGAUUUCAUCACGUUACUCAAAACAGCAUGCAACUUAACACUUAUAAAAUAUUUAUUUCUGGAAUUUUCCAUUUAAUAUUUUCAGACUGCAGUUGACAGCAGAUAACUGAAAGCUCGGAAAGCGAAACCGUGGAUAAGCAAGGGAACUGUGGCAUCCCGUUUAAAAUUGCUUCUGAAGAGAAGCAUGAGGUUACAUUUGUAAUCUCCCUGCAGCAGAGUCAACUGCAUAAGAAACCAAAAGACACACCUACCUGCUCCAUGCCAGCCUAAGCCACCACAUAAAAAGUCAGACCAUCUGCUAGAAGAACCACAUGGAGAGGCCCUGAGUCGACAUGGAGAGGAAGAAGGACUUGACUGAAUCCAGCCUUCCAGCUGUCCCUACCAAGGUGCCAGGCACGAGAAUGAAGCUGUCUUGGACUCUGAAGACCAGCUUAGCCACCAGAUGCCAAACACUGAGCAGGCUUUGUACUCCACCCACAAACCAGAGGCUGUCUCAGCAGGAAGGAGUUGGAGUUGGAGAAAAAGGAGAAUUAAGAAUCUAUCUGGCGAUGCGGAUUAAAUAAACAACAAAUUGGCAGAUUGUUUUUAAAAGAACUUCCAGCUUCUAGAGACUACUAGCCAAUUAGAAAAAUAAAUGCAACAUUAUAACUGUGGAAGUGCUACAAAGGAGAAGUUCAUGAUGAUAAAAGAUCCCCAUGAUAGAGGCAUGGGAAUGAACAGAGUUCCCUGAGGAGCCAUUUGAGCUGAAGGUGAAAGGACAAGCAGAAGAAGUUUACCAGCUAAACAAGGGAGGGAAGAUCAUUCCAAGGAGAGGGAACAUGAUGUGCAAACCCCCUUUGGCAUGAGUGAACUUGGCAAGGGUGAGACACUGCCAUUGGCCAGUGGACUGGAGCCAACAGGAUGAACAAGAAGCUGCAGGAAGAUGUUCAUGAUAUGCUGGAGAGACAGGAGCUGGAGGCUGCAGUAAGAUCUCCAUGCUUUACCUUAAGAGGAAUGGGAAGCCACUGGAGGAUUCUGAGCAGGGCAGUGAUGUGAUUUGCAUUUUGCAAAGUACACUGCAAAAUGAAUCUAGGUCGGAAGAGAUAACUGAAUGUGGGAGUACAAGGAAAAAGCCCCCAUGAGAGGGCUGCGGGGGAAACGGUUUCCCCAGGUUAGAUCCAUGCUUUCAGUAAGAAAGGAGGUGGUGUGAAAGGAACAGAUUGACUGAGGAGGAGAAGUCUGCUGGUUUUUGGGGAGUGGCUGUGAGGGUCGUAGCAGGCUGAGCUGGGGAAGGCAGGAGCUCUGGCCAGUGAAGGGAUGGCUGAUGGCCUGGUGCGGACCCUGGCUGGAGGGCUCACACACUGGACGCUGACUAACAAAACAGACGAAAAUGAGGAGUAUGAGGAUCUGUCUCAAGGGGGCCUUUGAGGAGGGCAAACAGGCCUUUGAGGCAGGUCCAGACACUGGCACCCUGCCUGCUUCUGUAGAAUUUAAUGCACCUGAGGUUACCAAGCUGGUGUCAUGGAGUGGCCAGAAGCCAGCUUCCAGUCUGAGGCAGUGGGUGAACCUAAACCACACUAUUUGACUCAAUUCUGUGUUUCCGGAAACUUUUAUGUUCUGAUCAAUGCAAAUAUGCCUACUGUAACAGCUGGCAAUGCCCAUGUCUCCACAAGGCCUGAGAAUAUGACCACAAUGGCAGUACAUCUCACCCAGGCUUCUGCUGGAUGGAGGGCUUCCAGAGACGGAGGGGCAGCUCGGUCAAUACCAUCCAAGAGGAGGUUCAACUCCAGACCUAGGCCAGCUGAAGAUCAAUGACAAGGGCAAGAUGGCUCUCUGCAGUCAACAUCACACACUUGUCUCAACAGAAGGAAGGAAUUUAUAUAAAAUAAGAAGUGGAAAGAGAAGAACAUCUGCGACAGUGAGAUGACAUUUCCACCUGAUCCUGAUUCCAUCUAAUAGCCAGUGCAGGUGUCGGGGAGGGAGGAUGGAGACAGGGUGGUUGGGGCUGGAAUAAAUGUUUUCAGCAGAACCAUGCCUCAGAUGGCUCUCAGAACUCAGCCUAGAAGGCAAGCCAGUUCAGAGGCACAAGGAGACUUAUGGAGAUGACAUAAAUGAACAGAAAAUAAACUGUACAUUUCACAAGAUUGGCACUGUAAGUCUGUGCUGUGAUGAACAGAGAUGUCAAACAUGCCCCAUGCCUGCCAGGUGUCAUGUUUCCAAAAUCCCUUGCUCUGUCAGAGUUUGCAGAGGAAUGAGCUGGGCUUUCUAAUUCCUGUUACUGGUAAUGGAUCACAUUUGUAGAGUACUUACUAUGCAUCAGGCACCAUGCUGAGAGGUUUCCUAUCUACUACUCCCCAUAAUCCUCACAUUGCUCUUUACAGAGAGAGGGGAUGGAGCUCAUUUACCUCAAGCGAUGGAGAAUCCCAAGGAGCCUUCAUUCUCCCCUUGACUGCACAUCUGUGCAUCUAGUUAAGGACCAGGACACAAUGGGAAGAGUUCCAAAGCCAACUGACCACCAAAUAAGUCUGAGCAUGAUGUGCUCCUGAAGCCAUUAGAGCGAAGGGUCACUCCUAAGACAGAGGGUCAGCU